GACGAACGCUGGCGGCGUGCCUAAUACAUGCAAGUUGAGCGCUGAAGGUUGGUACUUGUACCAACUGGAUGAGCAGCGAACGGGUGAGUAACGCGUGGGGAAUCUGCCUUUGAGCGGGGGACAACAUUUGGAAACGAAUGCUAAUACCGCAUAAAAACUUUAAACACAAGUUUUAAGUUUGAAAGAUGCAAUUGCAUCACUCAAAGAUGAUCCCGCGUUGUAUUAGCUAGUUGGUGAGGUAAAGGCUCACCAAGGCGAUGAUACAUAGCCGACCUGAGAGGGUGAUCGGCCACAUUGGGACUGAGACACGGCCCAAACUACUACGGGAGGCAGCAGUAGGGAAUCUUCGGCAAUGGACGAAAGUCUGACCGAGCAACGCCGCGUGAGUGAAGAAGGUUGUCGGAUCGUAAAACUCUGUUGGUAGAGAAGAACGUUGGUGAGAGUGGAAAGCUCAUCAAGUGACGGUAACUACCCAGAAAGGGACGGCUAACUACGUG
rnacentral:rRNA from 1 species